AGAAGAUGUGGGUUAGUCCCUCACCCCUCUUA
rnacentral:tRNA from 1 species